UCUCCUGGAAACGGGUGGUAAUGCCGGAUGCUCCGCCCCCUCGCAUGGGGGGUCGGGAAGGCUUUUGCGGAAUGGGAUGGGGUCGCGUCCUAUCAGCUUGUUGGCGGGGCGACGGCCCACCAAGGCUUCGACGGGUAGCCGGCCUGAGAGGGCGACCGGCCACAUUGGGACUGAGAUACGGCCCAGACUCCUACGGGAGGCAGCAGUGGGGAAUAUUGCACAAUGGGGGGAACCCUGAUGCAGCGACGCCGCGUGCGGGAUGGAGGCCUUCGGGUCGUGAACCGCUUUUGAUUGGGAGCAAGCGUGAGUGAGUGUACCUUUCGAAUAAGCACCGGCUAACUACGUGCCAGCAGCCGCGGUAAUACGUAGGGUGCAAGCGUUGUCCGGAAUCAUUGGGCGUAAAGGGCUCGUAGGCGGUUCGUCGCGUCCGGUGUGAAAGCCCAUCGCUUAACGGUGGGUCUGCGCCGGGUACGGGCGGGCUUGAGUGCGGCAGGGGAGGCUGGAAUUCCCGGUGUAACGGUGGAAUGUGUAGAUUAUCGGGAAGACACCA
rnacentral:rRNA from 1 species